GCUAUUUUAGCUGGUCCACAGUCUUCCAGAAACAAGUCUUUCCAGGAACAAGCAGCUAAAUUCAAAGCUUCUUCAGGACAGGAGUCAUAUCUUAUAUUUUGUAAUUUGACGGUAGAUAGCACCGCGCUGUGCACUAGCAUCUUAACCACGUAUCUGUAUAAGCUGGAACGUCGAGAGCCAAGACUUCACUUAGCCUCAACAUGCCACAAAUAAGAUCAUCCAUGACUCAACGACCACAUUGAAACAGCUAGAAAGCACGAAAAAAUGAAGACUCUGGGACUUCCUGGGUACUGGCAGUGGCAAGGAUACUGUCUGUGUUAAGAUUGCCAAGAAAGACAUGACUCACGUAAGUACUGGAUGGAAUAGGGCUUUACUCACACAGAGAAGAGACAGAACAAGACCAGCUUUAAUGGUAAGCAAGGGUCCCCCAAGGCCAGCAGGUUCCAUCCUGCAGAUGAUGCAGGGAGAUGGUCUGCAUGCACCCCUCUUGGGCUACAGACGAAGGACCCUACUUCCUCCCCUCCCUGGCAGAGGGGUUGGCCAGGUGCCAUAUGCCACACGUGCCUUAAGCAGAAUGAAGAAGUACACAUCAAGCUGGGAACAGGGAAAGAUUCUCCCAGCACAGGCCAGGAGGGGACCUUAUCUCCAUCAAUAUUCCAGGCCAAGGUGCAUUUUUAUGUAGCCUGCAGUGGUUGAAUGAGCUGCCCGUGACUGUCUUUCCCAAUAGUGAGAGCGUGGUGGUUUGGUGGGGCAGGGUGUAUAUGAAGAAAUACCGGUUGUUUUCUCCUUUUUCUUUUUCUUUUUCUUUUUUUUGAGACAGAGUCUCACUCU